rnacentral:tRNA from 1 species
GGGGAUAGUCAUGGCUUAGCAGUAGAACAUUUGCUUUACUUUCAGAAGGUCCCAGGUUCUAUCCCUGGCAUCUCCA